CAGGAAGGAGAUUGGCAGCUUCGGGGGCCUCGGAGCCUCGUGGCAGUUGUGCCCUUCUGACUGUGGAGUGCUCUGGAAAUUCAUCUUUAGUUGCUGAAACUGGAACUUCUUUGGAAAUCCUCAGGGAAGAAAUUGAAGUCAUGGCCAAAACACUGAAGCGCUUGGGAGAGGCAAAGCAGAGCUUUUAUAUGCAAAUCACGUCAAAGGAAAACAUCAGACAGAUCUGGUACAAGCCUCAAAAACCGUUCAAGUUUUUCUCUAAGGAUGAUGUCAUGGAAAUAAAGGAAAGGAUUUGGUGGAACUUGGAGAUGUAGUCUAGGAAGUACAAAUUGCACAAAGUUAUCUCAGCAAGGUGGAAGAAAUGACUGCUUUUUCCUCAAGUCCCCCUUUUGGGUGAGGGAAGAAAUGCCUGAAGUUGUUCUUGUCUCUGACCCUUGCAGGGCGGGCUUGAAUCUCUGCUCCGGCUGCUGUGGUGCGUAGGAUGGUGGGUUUUCAGGGAUGUAAAUGGUGGUGAUCCCAGCCUGAAGCACUUGUGUGGCUGUGCUACCCGGUUGUAAGGGCCUGCUGGGUUCCUCCUCCGCUUCUGUCCCAGGGAAAUUCUGGGUUCAUGGAAGGAAUGGAAUUGGGGUUUCUGGAACUGAAUUGGGAUAGGUGCUGAUCAGAUCGUGGGAUCAUGGGGGUGGUUUGGCUUGGAAGGGACCACAAAGACUCUCUGGACUCCGUUGUCCCAUCCUAUGGCAAAGAGUGUGUCCAACACUGCCUCCUCACCCUCGUGGAAUGGCAAUGGCUGUGUUGUAAACCCUCCUGGCUCUCUGACAGAGCAAACCUUUCUGCAAUCCCAGAAGAUCUCUCUGAGAAUCUGUGGAAUCAUAAGGUUUUCCAGGAAAAGAAAAAAGGACAGAGAUGAGAUGUUGUCAAACAAACAUUCUUGUACGUUUGAUGCUCCCCUUUUUGUUCCUGCAAUAUUUUAAAAAUUAUUCCUUUAACUU